ensembl:snoRNA
ACAGCAUCUUAAACAGGUCGUGGUCUCUGUGCGGUAGACCAGGAUUUGGUAGCUGGUGCUAAAAUCAAUUCUUUCUUGCAACACUCCCACCAGCAGCAAAUGUUGCGCUUUUGGGAUUACUUUGAAAGAAACAAUU